rnacentral:rRNA from 1 species
UACUUAACACAUGACAGUACGAACGGAAGGUUAAAGGGAGGUUAAGUUUUCGGAUGGAAUCUAACUUUUAACUUAGGUGGGGGGACGGGUGAGUAACGCGUGGGUAACCUGCCUCACACUUGGGGGGUAACAGAUAAGAAAUAUCUGCUAAAACCGCAUAAGCGCACGAGGUCGCAUGACCAUGUGUGAAAAACUCCGGUGGUGUGAGAUGGACCCGCGUCUGAUUAGGCAGUUGGCGGGGUAGAGGCCCACCAAACCGACGAUCAGUAGCCGGCCUGAGAGGGUGAACGGCCACAUUGGGACUGAGACACGGCCCAAACUCCUACGGGGAGGCAGCAGUGGGGAAUAUUGCACAAUGGGGGAAACCCUGAUGCAGCGACGCCGCGUGAGUGAAGAAGUAAUUCGUUAUGUAAAGCUCUAUCAGCAGGGAAGAAAGUGACGGUACCUGAGUAAGAAGCCCCGGCUAACUACGUGCC